CAGGGAUGCCUCAGUAACGGCGAGUGAAGCGGCAACAGCUCAAAUUUGAAAUCUGGCCUCUUGGGGUCCGAGUUGUAAUUUGUAGAGGAUGUUUCGGGUACCGCCUCGGUUUAAAUUUCUUGGAACAGAAUGUCAGAGAGGGUGAGAAUCCCGUCUUGAACCGGUGGUAGGGCCUAUGUGAAACUCCUUCGACGAGUUCGAGUUGUUUGGGGAAUGCAGCUCCAAAUGGGUGGUAAAUUUCAUCUAAAGCUAAAUAUUGGGCCCAGAGACCGAUAGCGCACAAAGUAGAGUGAUCGAAAGAUGAAAAAGCACUUUGAAAAAGAGAGUUAAACAGUAUGUGAAAUUGUUGAAAGGGAAGCGCUUACAACCAGACUUGAGCGCGGCGGUUCCCCCUUGCUUCUGCUUGGGUUACUCCGCCGUGUCCAGGCCAACAUCGGUUCUGGGGGUCGGUCAAAGGCCCUGGGAAUGUAUCUACCUACGGGUAGACUUAUAGACCAGGGUGUCAUGCGGCCUCCCGGGACCGAGGAACGCGCUCCGGCUCGGAUGUUGGCGUAAUGGUUGUCAGCGACCCGUCUUGAAACACGGACCAAGGAGUCUAACAUCUAUGCGAGUGUUUGGGUGUCAAACCCGGAACGCGAAAUGAAAGUGAACGGAGGUAGGAAGCUUCGGCUGCACUAUCGACCGAUCCUGAAGUUUACGGAUGGAUUUGAGUAAGAGCAUAGCUGUUGGGACCCGAAAGAUGGUGAACUAUGCCUGAAUAGGGUGAAGCCAGAGGAAACUCUGGUGGAGGCUCGCAGCGGUUCUGACGUGCAAAUCGAUCGUCAAAUUUGGGUAUAGGGGCGAAAGACUAAUCGAACCAUUAAGGACAGCCACUCGGUGGUUUAAGUGUGGCCCUGAAAGGGGGUGUGCAAGUGCCCAGAUUCUGGCCGCGACACUGUCAAAUUUGCGGGGACUCCCUUAAAGCUCCCAGGGACCGGCCUGGCCCGUGAAAGCGGGCUCGGGCACCGGGUUAACGACCCCGGGUAUGGUAACACCACUGGAGAUGCAACAAUGGGUAAUCUGCAGCCAAGUCCUAAGGGCAUUCAUGUCUAGGGAUGCAGUUCACAGACUAAAUGGCAGUGGGCUCGGUCACGCGAGCUUAAGACAUAGUCGGUCCCCCGGGGAGACCCGGGCGCAUACGCUAAAUCUGGUGGAAGAAUCCUGCUCUGCAGUUACCCCUGACCUGAACGGUGCGGGCACCUAGAGCCAUUGCCCAGGUGUCGGAGAAAUUCGCGUGUGCC
rnacentral:rRNA from 1 species